UACGAAGGGGGCUAGCGUUGCUCGGAAUUACUGGGCGUAAAGCGCACGUAGGCGGCUCUUUAAGUCGGGGGUGAAAUCCUGGAGCUCAACUCCAGAACUGCCUUCGAUACUGAAGAGCUCGAGUCCGGGAGAGGUGAGUGGAACUGCGAGUGUAGAGGUGAAAUUCGUAGAUAUUCGCAAGAACACCAGUGGCGAAGGCGGCUCACUGGCC
rnacentral:rRNA from 1 species